rnacentral:rRNA from 1 species
UACGGAGGGGGCUAGCGUUGUUCGGAAUUACUGGGCGUAAAGCGCACGUAGGCGGCUUUGUAAGUUAGAGGUGAAAGCCCAGGGCUUAACCCUGGAAUUGCCUUUAAGACUGCAUCGCUAGAAUCGUUGAGAGGUGAGUGGAAUUCCGAGUGUAGAGGUGAAAUUCGUAGAUAUUCGGAAGAACACCAGUGGCGAAGGCGACUCACUGGACACGUAUUGACGCUGAGGUGCGAAAGCGUGGGGAGCAAACAGG